rnacentral:rRNA from 7 species
AAAUUGAAGAGUUUGAUCAUGGCUCAGAUUGAACGCUGGCGGCAGGCCUAACACAUGCAAGUCGAACGGUAGCACAGAGAGCUUGCUCUCGGGUGACGAGUGGCGGACGGGUGAGUAAUGUCUGGGAAACUGCCUGAUGGAGGGGGAUAACUACUGGAAACGGUAGCUAAUACCGCAUAACGUCGCAAGACCAAAGAGGGGGACCUUCGGGCCUCUUGCCAUCAGAUGUGCCCAGAUGGGAUUAGCUAGUAGGUGGGGUAACGGCUCACCUAGGCGACGAUCCCUAGCUGGUCUGAGAGGAUGACCAGCCACACUGGAACUGAGACACGGUCCAGACUCCUACGGGAGGCAGCAGUGGGGAAUAUUGCACAAUGGGCGCAAGCCUGAUGCAGCCAUGCCGCGUGUAUGAAGAAGGCCUUCGGGUUGUAAAGUACUUUCAGCGGGGAGGAAGGUGUUGUGGUUAAUAACCGCAGCAAUUGACGUUACCCGCAGAAGAAGCACCGGCUAACUCCGUGCCAGCAGCCGCGGUAAUACGGAGGGUGCAAGCGUUAAUCGGAAUUACUGGGCGUAAAGCGCACGCAGGCGGUCUGUCAAGUCGGAUGUGAAAUCCCCGGGCUCAACCUGGGAACUGCAUUCGAAACUGGCAGGCUAGAGUCUUGUAGAGGGGGGUAGAAUUCCAGGUGUAGCGGUGAAAUGCGUAGAGAUCUGGAGGAAUACCGGUGGCGAAGGCGGCCCCCUGGACAAAGACUGACGCUCAGGUGCGAAAGCGUGGGGAGCAAACAGGAUUAGAUACCCUGGUAGUCCACGCCGUAAACGAUGUCGACUUGGAGGUUGUGCCCUUGAGGCGUGGCUUCCGGAGCUAACGCGUUAAGUCGACCGCCUGGGGAGUACGGCCGCAAGGUUAAAACUCAAAUGAAUUGACGGGGGCCCGCACAAGCGGUGGAGCAUGUGGUUUAAUUCGAUGCAACGCGAAGAACCUUACCUACUCUUGACAUCCAGAGAACUUUCCAGAGAUGGAUUGGUGCCUUCGGGAACUCUGAGACAGGUGCUGCAUGGCUGUCGUCAGCUCGUGUUGUGAAAUGUUGGGUUAAGUCCCGCAACGAGCGCAACCCUUAUCCUUUGUUGCCAGCGGUCCGGCCGGGAACUCAAAGGAGACUGCCAGUGAUAAACUGGAGGAAGGUGGGGAUGACGUCAAGUCAUCAUGGCCCUUACGAGUAGGGCUACACACGUGCUACAAUGGCGCAUACAAAGAGAAGCGAACUCGCGAGAGCAAGCGGACCUCAUAAAGUGCGUCGUAGUCCGGAUUGGAGUCUGCAACUCGACUCCAUGAAGUCGGAAUCGCUAGUAAUCGUAGAUCAGAAUGCUACGGUGAAUACGUUCCCGGGCCUUGUACACACCGCCCGUCACACCAUGGGAGUGGGUUGCAAAAGAAGUAGGUAGCUUAACCUUCGGGAGGGCGCUUACCACUUUGUGAUUCAUGACUGGGGUGAAGUCGUAACAAGGUAACCGUAGGGGAACCUGCGGUUGGAUCACCUCCUUACCUUAAAGAA